AAACUAACAAGGAUUCCCCUAGUAGCGGCGAGCGAAGCGGGAAGAGCUCAAAUUUAUAAUCUGGCCCUUCGGUGUCCGAGUUGUAAUCUCUAGAAGUGUUUUCCGCGUUGGACCGCACACAAGUCUGUUGGAAUACAGCGGCAUAGUGGUGAAACCCCCGUAUAUGGUGCGGACGCCCAGCGCUUUGUGAUACACUUUCAAUGAGUCGAGUUGUUUGGGAAUGCAGCUCAAAUUGGGUGGUAAAUUCCAUCUAAAGCUAAAUAUUGGCGAGAGACCGAUAGCGAACAAGUACCGUGAGGGAAAGAUGAAAAGCACUUUGGAAAGAGAGUUAACAGUACGUGAAAUUGUUGGAAGGGAAACGCUUGAAGUCAGACUUGCUUGCCGGAGCUUGCUUCGGUUUGCAGGCCAGCAUCAGUUUUCCGGGGUGGAUAAUGACGGUUUGAAGGUAGCAGUCUCGGCUGUGUUAUAGCUUUCCGUUGGAUACAUCCUGGGGGACUGAGGAACGCAGCGUGCUUUUUGCGAAAGACUCGUCUUUUUCACGCUUAGGAUGCUGGU
rnacentral:rRNA from 1 species